rnacentral:lncRNA from 1 species
GUCUUAGUCCCUAGAUUUUUUGUGAAACUGACUUUAGAAAUUUGAUAUGAAUUAUGGUUUAUGCAAUAUAUUGUAUGACUUAAAAAAUGUAUAGCUUAUUUGUUGCUGCUUUGAUCUGACACUAGCAUUAUUGUUGAAAUAUAACAUUUUGGUUGUUCUAGUGAUAAAUAUUGGAAAUGUGAAGCUCCUUCACUGUAGUUACAGUGCCUGGUGGAAAUAAUUAUGCCUGAUUGGUUCCUGGUCCUUGAUGGACCUUUUUCAGAGGCAGAAUGAUGAGGUGUUUUUUAGGCUGAUUUAUAGUGUUUUAAAUUACAUGUAUUAUCCAUUUCAGAAAAAAAAGCAAAUAGUGAUAGAAUUAUCUGUUCUCCUAUUUUCAUAAUUGAUUGACUGAUGAUUACUUUAUGCCACAUCAGCACCCUCCUAUUGUAAGUGCUAUAUGCCACAUCAGCACCCUCCUAUUGUAAGUGCUAUAUGCCACAUCAGCACCCCCCCUAUUGUAAGUGCUAUAUGCCACAUCAGCACCCUCCUAUUGUAAAGUGCUAUAGCCCAUCAGCACCCUCCUAUUGUAAGUGCUAUAUGCCACAUCAGCACCCUCCUAUUGUAAGUGCUAUAUGCCACAUCAGCACCCUCCUAUUGUAAGUGCUAUAUGCCACAUCAGCACCCUCCUAUUGUAAGUGCUAUAUGCCACAUCAGCACCAUCCUAUUGUAAGUGCUAUAUGUUUUCUGUAUUCUGUUUCUGAUAUAAAUAAGUGGGUUGAAAUAUUUUUUUUUAAAACUUCUGAAAAUAAUUCAUUGGUUCAAUUAAGGAGGGAAUGAAUACACCUUGUCGCUAUUUCUGGAUAUCACACAGGUUUCCGUAAAAUUUUGACGUCAUAAAACGAAUCAUCUGACGCCACAAUGGAAAAGUGAUUGUUGUAUGCAUCAAAAGUUCAAGCGGCCGGGUCAGCCGGGAUUAGCGAUAAGGUGUAUGCUUUUUAUACGACCGCAAAAUUUGAAAAAUUUUUCGUCGUAUAUUGCUAUCACGUUGGCGUCGUCGUCGUCGUCGUCCGAAUACUUUUAGUUUUCGCACUGUAACUUUAGUAAAAGUGAAUAGAAAUCUAUGAAAUUUUAACACAAGGUUUAUGACCACAAAAGGAAGGUUGGGAUUGAUUUUGGGAGUUUUGGUCCCAACAUUUUAGGAAUUAGGGGCCAAAAAGGGCCCAAAUAAGCAUUUCUUGGUUUUCGCACUAUAACUUUAGUUGAAGUUAAUAGAAAUCUAUGAAAUUUUGACACAAGGUUUAUGACCACAAAAGAAAGGUUGGGAUUGAUUUUGGGAGUUUUGGUUCCAACAGUUUAGGAAUUAGGGGCCAAAAAAGGGCCCAAAUAAGCAUUAUUCUUGGUUUUUGCACAAUAACUUUAGUUUAAGUAAAUAGAAAUCAAUGAAAUUUAAACACAAUGUUUAUGACCACAAAAGGAAGG